UACGUGGGGGGCAAGCGUUGUUCGGAAUUACUGGGCGUAAAGGGCUCGUAGGCGGCCAACUAAGUCAGACGUGAAAUCCCUCGGCUUAACCGGGGAACUGCGUCUGAUACUGGAUGGCUUGAGGUUGGGAGAGGGAUGCGGAAUUCCAGGUGUAGCGGUGAAAUGCGUAGAUAUCGGGAAGAACACCCGUGGCGAAGGCGGCUCUCUGGGACGGUACUGACGCUGAGACGCGAAAGCGUGGGGAGCGAACAGG
rnacentral:rRNA from 1 species